rnacentral:rRNA from 1 species
AUGGCGCAGCAAUGGAAUAUUCCGGACGUCCGACGACUGAUGAAUACAGGGCGAGAGUGGUUGCUUCAAGUGCUAGCGGAGUUGUCGGAGGAGAAGCGUUUGUACACGCUCAUGACCAUUUGGCGAUGCUGGCACGUGAGAAAUGAGAUCGUCCAUCACAAACGGCCGCCACCAGUGGAGGCAUCGACCCGGUUUCUCUCCAGCUACAUAUGCUCCUUACUUGCUUUGCAGACCAAUCCCAAUGGUGACCAUGUUAAAGGCAAGAUGGUGACUGUACCUCAGUACAAGAGGCGUGCAUUAUCACAUGCGGGCGAGGUAGUAAAGAAAAGGCAGGGAUUGGACGCGCCGCCGGCGGGCGGCGUUAAGUAUUGA